GCCUUGGCAUCAGGAGCCGAUGAAGGACGUGGGAAUCUGCGAUAAGCCUGGUGGAGUCGAUAACCUGACGUUGAGACCAGGAUUUCCGAAUGGGGAAACCCCGUACGGUGUCAUGCCGUAUGACCCGCAGCUGAAUGUAUAGGUUGCGUGGAGGGAACGCGGGGAAGUGAAACAUCUCAGUACCCGCAGGAAGAGAAAACAAUAGUGAUUCCGUUAGUAGUGGCGAGCGAACGCGGAUGGGGCUAAACCGGUUGGUGUGUGAUAGCGGAUAGGCGUUGCAUCACCGGGGUUGUGGGGCCCACAUGUGCCAACCCUAUCUGGUUGGCGGGAUGAGGUGCAGGCGUAUAGGUGAAUCGGUUGGAAUGCCGGACCAGAGAGGGUGAUAGUCCCGUAGGUGUAAUGCGUGUCUGCCGUUCUAGUGUGGGUACCCGAGUAGCACGGGGCUCGAGAAAUCUUGUGUGAAUCUGCCAGGACCACCUGGUAAGCCUGAAUACUACCUGAUGACCGAUAGUGAAUCAGUACCGUGAGGGAAUGGUGAAAAGUACCCCGGGAGGGGAGUGAAAUAGUACCUGAAACCGUGCGCUUACAAUCCGUUAGAGCAUGACCCUUGUGGUUGUGUGAUGGCGUGCCUUUUGAAGAAUGAGCCUGCGAGUUAGUGCUGUGUCGCGAGGUUAACCCGUGUGGGGAAGCCGUAGCGAAAGCGAGUCUGAACAGGGCGUUCAGUGGCGCGGUCUAGACCCGAAGCGAAGUGA
rnacentral:rRNA from 1 species